UGAAAACAGGUUUGAAGAGGGAAUUUGAUGAAGUUUUUACAAAGAAAAUGAUUGAGUCUAUGAGCCGUCCUUCCAUGGAGCUUGUUCUCUGGAAACCCCUCCCUGAACUCCUUUCUGAUAAGCCAAAGCCAUCCUCUAAUACUAAGAACUAUACAGGAGAGAGCCAAGCUAAGCAUGUAGCUGCUGGCACUGCCUUCCCUCAGAGAACUGAACUGUUUUCGGAACCUCGGCCAACAGGGAUGUCUCUUUAUAAUAGUUUGGAGACAGCUACUAGCACAGAAGAAGAGAUGGAACUCUAGAAACCAAUUUCUACACUAAAGUUGUCAAAUGUUAGAAGAAUCCUGUGUUCAGUUAUGAGACUCUUUGCAUAGUAUAGGGACUUGAAAGUUUUAUGAGACGGGUGUAAUAAUAUCUCCACCUGUGAUUUGGGGGUGGGACUCUUAUUUUGGGUAGCCAUUUAUUGACUUCACCUUUUUGCCAAGGACGUUUGUCUCAAGGGAAAAGCAGUUUUCUGUGGGGCUUAUUAAAGGAAUGUUGGUUUACAUUGUCUUCAAAGACAAGUAUAGAAGCUGUAUGUGUAAGGGUGACUUAAAUCAUAUGUCACAUUGUCUAAACUAUUCAGACACUUGGAGAAUAUUCUCCUUGAAUUAAAAAAGAUGAUUAAGAAGGAUGCUCCUACAACUGUAUCCUGACAGUUAAGUCACAGCUUAAUGUGUAGAUAUGAGC
rnacentral:lncRNA from 1 species